CAGGCUUAACACAUGCAAGUCGAGGGGCAGCAUGGUCUUAGCUUGCUAAGGCCGAUGGCGACCGGCGCACGGGUGAGUAACACGUAUCCAACCUGCCGUCUACUCUUGGACAGCCUUCUGAAAGGAAGAUUAAUACAAGAUGGCAUCAUGAGUCCGCAUGUUCACAUGAUUAAAGGUAUUCCGGUAGACGAUGGGGAUGCGUUCCAUUAGAUAGUAGGCGGGGUAACGGCCCACCUAGUCUUCGAUGGAUAGGGGUUCUGAGAGGAAGGUCCCCCACAUUGGAACUGAGACACGGUCCAAACUCCUACGGGAGGCAGCAGUGAGGAAUAUUGGUCAAUGGGCGAGAGCCUGAACCAGCCAAGUAGCGUGAAGGAUGACUGCCCUAUGGGUUGUAAACUUCUUUUAUAAAGGAAUAAAGUCGGGUAUGGAUACCCGUUUGCAUGUACUUUAUGAAUAAGGAUCGGCUAACUCCGUGCCAGCAGCCGCGGUAAUACGGAGGAUCCGAGCGUUAUCCGGAUUUAUUGGGUUUAAAGGGAGCGUAGAUGGAUGUUUAAGUCAGUUGUGAAAGUUUGCGGCUCAACCGUAAAAUUGCAGUUGAUACUGGAUAUCUUGAGUGCAGUUGAGGCAGGCGGAAUUCGUGGUGUAGCGGUGAAAUGCUUAGAUAUCACGAAGAACUCCGAUUGCGAAGGCAGCCUGCUAAGCUGCAACUGACAUUGAGGCUCGAAAGUGUGGGUAUCAAACAGGAUUAGAUACCCUGGUAGUCCACACGGUAAACGAUGAAUACUCGCUGUUUGCGAUAUACUGCAAGCGGCCAAGCGAAAGCGUUAAGUAUUCCACCUGGGGAGUACGCCGGCAACGGUGAAACUCAAAGGAAUUGACGGGGGCCCGCACAAGCGGAGGAACAUGUGGUUUAAUUCGAUGAUACGCGAGGAACCUUACCCGGGCUUAAAUUGCAGAUGAAUUACGGUGAAAGCCGUAAGCCGCAAGGCAUCUGUGAAGGUGCUGCAUGGUUGUCGUCAGCUCGUGCCGUGAGGUGUCGGCUUAAGUGCCAUAACGAGCGCAACCCUUGUUGUCAGUUACUAACAGGUUCCGCUGAGGACUCUGACAAGACUGCCAUCGUAAGAUGUGAGGAAGGUGGGGAUGACGUCAAAUCAGCACGGCCCUUACGUCCGGGGCUACACACGUGUUACAAUGGGGGGUACAGAGGGUCGCUACCACGCGUGUGGAUGCCAAUCCCCAAAACCUCUCUCAGUUCGGACUGGAGUCUGCAACCCGACUCCACGAAGCUGGAUUCGCUAGUAAUCGCGCAUCAGCCACGGCGCGGUGAAUACGUUCCCGGGCCUUGUACACACCGCCCGUCAAGCCAUGGGAGCCGGGGGUACCUGAAGUGCGUAACCGCGAGGAGCGCCCUAGGGUAAAACUGGUGACUGGGGC
rnacentral:rRNA from 1 species